ACAACGGAAACCUAAAAUAUAUGCUGUAUACGUAUAUAUAUAUGUACCGGUAUAUAUUUUAAAAAAAAUAUUUUGUUGUCUGAAUGUUUGUGUUUUUAAAUUGAAGUAAAAUUAAUUUUUUCUCUUGCAAAAGCCAUAGGGUUUUAUCCAUCUAUCACAUAAUUUGGUUAAGCAUACAUGUAUAAUUGAUGAAAGUAGUCCAAUAUGUAUUAUAAAUGAAAGGGAAACUAUUUGAUAACUCAACCUACAGAAUUAUAUACACUGUAUUCAUGUGAACUCUGGAAAUAUUUAUAUUCUUAUGUAUGAGUAUUGUAAGCUACCCAGUGUAUAGAUCUGUUUGUUGAUGGCUGAAAAGAACUUUCACAUUCAGAUUAUAUAGAUAAUACAAAAUGUAAUAUUUCUUCUUAAAUUCUUAAAAGUUUCUUAUAAUACCAAGCUAUACUCUACAAAACGAAUUGAAAUAUUUGGUAAUACAAAACUACCAUUAAGAAAAAAAUUGCAAGAUACUUGCCAAUUUUAAAGCCUCAGAAAUUUGAUGUUCCGUUUGUUGUUUAAGUUUCAAAACUAGCAGGGUCAUUAAGGAUUGUAAUAAUGAUGGUUUAUAGAAAAUGCAGUUAGUUUUGUUUUAUUUCUGAUGCUGUUUUGUGCAUUGUAAAUCCUCAUCAAAUUUUCAGUGGUGAAAUAAAUGAAAUUUCUUCAAGACAUUAGAAAUCAAUUUGUCCUCCGGCACCAAACAUUUGUUGCUGCGUUGGCUCAUCCCUGCAGGAUUCUGGAUUUGGUUUCAAAGAAGCCGUAGAAAUUGGGAAUUUAAUAAUGUGUGCUGAAUACUUUGUUUUACUUACUUAAUGAUGGUUAGAUGUUUUAUUGAAUAAAGAUAGUGCUAUUUUUCUGCC
rnacentral:misc_RNA from 1 species